rnacentral:lncRNA from 1 species
UGAGCACGGCCCCAACAGAUCGGCGUCUCCAGAACGCCUCUGACAAAAGGAGCCGACAUGCCUGAUGCCUUGUGGCCUGGGAAAGUGGGAGGAGGGGUCAGAGCCAGGAGCAGACAGCAAAGUAUGAGCUCCUGGACCCUAUUCAGCAGUCUGCUCACCUGAACAGAGAUAAGAUACCCAACUGGGGCUGGUUAGCCUGGAGGAGGGCUCAGAAGGCAAGAAGGAUCUGGCUCCCCUUUGAUGUUCCCAUCUCCUCCUGCCAUCUCCACCAUCCAAUGACUGGUCCCUUAAGGGCCUCUUCGCUUCUUCCCCUGCCUGCCUCUGGAUGAGGGGUAUAUACAGGGAUGCCUGGGUGGCUCAGCGGUUGAGUGCCUGCCUUCAGCCCAGGACGUGAUCCUGGGGUCCUGGAAUCGAGUCCUGCAUUGAGCUCCUCGCAGGGAGCCUGCGUCUCCAUCUGCCUGUCUCUGCCUCUCUCUGUGUGUCUCUCAUGAAUAAAUAAAUAAAAUCUUUUUAAAAAUUAGGUAUA